rnacentral:rRNA from 1 species
UACGGGGGGGGCAAGCGUUGUUCGGAAUUACUGGGCGUAAAGGGCUCGUAGGCGGCCAACUAAGUCGGAUGUGAAAUCCCCAGGCUUAACCUGGGAACUGCAUCCGAUACUGGAUGGCUUGAAUCCGGGAGAGGGAUGCGGAAUUCCAGGUGUAGCGGUGAAAUGCGUAGAUAUCUGGAGGAACACCGGUGGCGAAGGCGGCAUCCUGGACCGGCAUUGACGCUGAGGAGCGAAAGCAUGGGGAGCGAACAGG